AUUGAACGCUGGCGGCAGGCCUAACACAUGCAAGUCGAGCGAGCGGCGGACGGGUGAGUAAUGUCUGGGAAACUGCCUGAUGGAGGGGGAUAACUACUGGAAACGGUAGCUAAUACCGCAUACCAUCAGAUGUGCCCAGAUGGGAUUAGCUAGUAGGUGGGGUAACGCCUCACCUAGGCGCCGAUACCUAGCUGGUCUGAUAGGAUGACCAGCCACGCUGGAACUGAGACUCGGCCCAGACUCCGACGGGAGGCAGCAGUGGGGAAUAUUGCACAAUGGGCGCAAGCUUGAGGCAGCCAUGCCGCGUGUGUGAAGAAGGCCUUAUGGUUGUAAAGCACUUUAAGCGAGGAGGCGUGACUCGCAGAAUAAGCACCGGCUAACUCCGUGCCAGCAGCCGCGGUAAUUC
rnacentral:rRNA from 1 species